CCGUGUCGCUAGGGGUGCUCCCGUGAGGAGCUGAGAGGGCCGUGUUCGCGGCCGACCCUUGGAACCUGAACCGGUUUGGACCGGCGGAGGGAAGCGGCGGGCUUCCCAU
rnacentral:ncRNA from 2 species